ACAAGGACCCGAGUUCAAUCCCUGGUACCAAAAACAAAAAACAAAAAAAAAACUGUAUAAUGUUGCAGCAUAUAUUUUAAGAAAGAGUACUGGUAGGACUGUGUAAUGAAUAUUACCAAUUUGUAUUGUAAGAUAAUCCUUGGAAGUGCAUGCAUACAUACAGUACAUAUUUUAAAUCGUUUAUAGAAUAUAUAGGAUAAAGAAUAAGUGUACUUUAAGUCAUAAUGUCACUCAUUUGAUUUAUGCUUAUUUUUAAUAAUACAAAUGGAGGGCCAGGGAUUUAGCUCAGUGGUUUUGCCACCUGCUGCACAAGUGCAAGGACCCGAGUUCGAUCCCCGGUACCAAAAAAACAAAACAAAACAAAAAAAAUGGAACAAAAUACAUACUCAUCUUAAAAAUUUAAAUGAUAGUAUAAAUCAGAUAUACGCCAGCGGUUAGGAAAAAGACCGUAUUCUCCAGAGAAGGCUUUUAGUAGUAUUCCAGUGGUUCGGAAAGAGCCCUCUUCAGAUGUACAUAGUAGACUAGGUGUUCCCAGGCAAGAUGUUAAGGGCCUCUACUCUGAUACUCAGGAGAAGAAAUCAGGUAGCUUAUGGACUCAUUUAGGAUCUACACCCAAGACCAAAGAAAAGAAUAUGAAGAAGGUGGAUCACAGGGCACCUGGCAUGGAGGAAGAUGACUCUGAGCUGCAAAGGGCAUGGGGGUCCUCUGAUUAAGGAGAAAGAACAGUCUUGCCAAAAGAAGAGCCGCUGUUACCAGCACCCUUUUCCUAAGAAAAGUCAAUUCCCAGGUGCUUAUUGGACAAACUUCGAGGGGGAAGAUGAGGGAAGCUGCCAGCCCACCCUUCCAGGAUCCUAGUGUGGGGGUGACUGUCACGGACCUGACCUCAGAGGUGCACCAGUGCUGGCCAGGUAGAUAAGAGACACAGCAUCAAUCGCGCUUCCAUUCCUCCCUUGGGGAUUUCUGUUAGGGGACUCUUAUAUUGGCUGUCAGCUUGAUGUGAAGAUCAAGUUCAAUGCUGUGGGAUUUUUAGGAAUAAAAAACUGUGACUUACGGAUAUAGGGUUGAUUUUUGUGCUAGGGUUGGGGUCCUGGGUUAAUGCU
rnacentral:lncRNA from 1 species